UAUGGCCACAUCACAUUGAAACACUAGUUCCUGUACAAUCACUGAAGUUAAGCAAUGUCAAGCCUGGUCAGUACUUAGAUGGGUGACCACUAAGGGACUAUCAGUUGCUGUAAG